rnacentral:rRNA from 1 species
GUGCCCUUGUGGCGAAACUUGACGCAGCAACGCCGCGUGGAUGAUGAAGUUCUUCGGAAUGUAAAGUCCUUUUGUAGAGGAAGAACAUGCUGGUUUACCGGCAGUGACGGUACUCUGCCAAUACCCACGGAUAACUCUGUGCCAACACCGCGGUGAUACCGGGGUGGCAAGCGUUGUCCGGAUUUACUGGGUGUAAGGGGUACCCAGACGGAAUAAUAGAUU